rnacentral:lncRNA from 1 species
UAUUGCUGGAUGUUUGUGUGUGUGGUUAUUCCAAUUACACAGUAUUUUCUUAUUCGACUUUGUGUGGUGUUUAAUCAUUUAUGUUGAAGUUAAUUAAGUACAUUAUGUUGGAUAUAUUUUAAGGUCAUGGUUGGUAUUCUGGUUUUAAUAAUAGUAUUUGGGGGCUUAUGUUCCACUUAAAAUAAGUGGAUGACUUCUAAAGUUGGCAUGCUGUUUUUAAUAAUUUCAUUUGAUAGCUUAU